rnacentral:rRNA from 1 species
UGAGGAAUAUUGGUCAAUGGCCGGAAGGCUGAACCAGCCAAGUCGCGUGAGGGAAUAAGGCCCUACGGGUCGUAAAACCUCUUUUGUCAGGGAGCAAGGCCGCCCACGUGUGGACGGAAGGAGAGUACCUGGAGAAAAAGCAUCGGCUAACUCCGUGCC